GCUGGGUGUAAUACAGUCUUUAAAAGAAAAUGGCUUCCCCAGCAGACCGUCCCCCUUGGAGAAAAGUUACUCAUCUCACAAUGGCUUUCAGUCUGUCCCAUGGAGUGGGAGUUGCUGCUUACAUGGGGACUUACUAAGGUGGAGGAGACUCAGGACCACACAAGACUGAAUUUUACUCAUGUCACUGCUGGAUUUUCCUUCUGGUGUCAAUCAAGCGUCAUAUUGAACGUAACAGUAUGCUAUGUCCCUGAUACUAGAAGCCAUCCACCUCCAGGCCCCUUGAGAAGGACAGCGGUAAUCCAGAUCCACACCCUCAGGUAUGUGCAACGACAUACAAAUACUUUCACAGUGCAAGGAGCAUAUCCAAGUUGACCAAGCAAUACUUUUAUGUAUCUCCACUUCUUUAUGUUAUAGCCUUAAGUUUAAUCUCAAAUUCUUAUUGUUG
rnacentral:lncRNA from 1 species